rnacentral:rRNA from 1 species
AUGAUGCAAGCCAGAUUCGAGUUAUUACGACGACGAUCCAUGGCACCAACUUGGCAACAAGGUAUGAAGCUACUGGGAUCGGGCGGCGAAGCGCUCCACGUUGGGGUCGGACAGGUUGAUCCCAACCAUGGCCUCCCCGAGCCCGGCGCUGACGUUGGCCAGGAUCUCCGGGUCGCUGUAGUGCGUCACGGCCUGCACGAUGGCGCGGGCGCGACGCGCCGGGUCCCCGCUCUUGAAGAUGCCGGAGCCGACGAACACCCCGUCGCACCCGAGCUGCAUCAUCAGGGCGGCGUCCGCGGGGGUGGCCACGCCGCCGGCGGCGAACUGCACGACCGGGAGGCGGCCCAGCUGCUUGGUCUGCAUCACCAGGUCGUACGGCGCGGCGAUCUGCUUCGCGUAGCUGAAGACCUCGUCCUCGUCCAUGUUGCGCAGGGCCCGGACGGCGCCCAUCACGGAGCGGACGUGGCGGACGGCCUCCACCACGUUGCCGGUGCCGGCCUCCCCCUUGGUGCGGAUCAUGGCGGCGCCCUCGCGGAUGCGGCGGAGCGCCUCGCCCAGGUCGCGGCAGCCGCACACGAAGGGGACGCGGAAGUUGUGCUUGUUGAUGUGGUGGGCGUCGUCGGCCAGGGUCAGGACCUCGCUCUCGUCCACGUAGUCCACGCCGAUGGCCUCCAGGAUCUGGGCCUCCACGAAGUGCCCGAUGCGGGCCUUGGCCAUCACCGGGAUGGUGACGGCGCGCUUGAUGUCGCGGAUGAGGGCCGGGUCGGACAUGCGGGCCACGCCGCCCUGGGCGCGGAUGUCGGCGGGCACGCGCUCCAGCGCCAUGACGGCGCAGGCGCCGGCCUCCUCGGCGAGGCGCGCCUGCUCGGCGGUGACCACGUCCAUGAUGACGCCGCCGCGCAGCAUCUGGGCGAGGCCCACCUUGACGGAGAAGGUGGCGGCGGCAGGCUUGGCGGAGGGCUCCACCACCGCCUUGUUGUUUCCGUACAGGGCCACCACGCCGUCGGAAGCCAUUGA